UACGAAGGGGGCUAGCGUUGCUCGGAAUCACUGGGCGUAAAGGGUGCGUAGGCGGGUCUUUAAGUCAGGGGUGAAAUCCUGGAGCUCAACUCCAGAACUGCCUUUGAUACUGAAGGAUCUUGAGUUCGGGAGAGGUGAGUGGAACUGCGAGUGUAGAGGUGAAAUUCGUAGAUAUUCGCAAGAACACCAGUGGCGAAGGCGGCUCACUGGCCCGAUACUGACGCUGAGGCACGAAAGCGUGGGGAGCAAACAGGGAUUAGAAUCGACCG
rnacentral:rRNA from 1 species